rnacentral:rRNA from 1 species
GAUGAACGCUGGCGGCGUGCCUAAUACAUGCAAGUCGAGCGGACGGACGAGAAGCUUGCUUUUCUGAUGUUAGCGGCGGACGGGUGGGUAACGCGUGGAUCACCUACCUCUAAUACGUGGAUCACUUCGGGAAACCGGAGCUAAUACCGGAGAAUAUUUUGAACCGCAUUGUUCAAAAGUGAAUGACGGUCUUGCCGUCUCUAAUAGAUGAAUCCGCGCUGCAUUAUCUAGUUGGUAAGGUAACGGCUUACCAAGGCAACGAUGCGUAGCUGACCUGAUAGGAUGAUCGGCCACACUGGAACUGAGACACGGUCCAGACUCCUACGGGAGGCAGCAGUAGGGAAUAUUCAGCAAUGGGCGAAAGCCUGACACAGCAACACCGCGUGGGUGAAGAAGGUCUUCGGAUCGUAAAGCCCUGUUGUUAGGAAAGAAAAGCUGCAGAAUAAAAUGUGGCUGUUCUGACGGUACCUAAAAAAAAAGCAACGGCUAACUACGUG